rnacentral:lncRNA from 1 species
GCCAACCAUGUGGAGCAGGAAAGCCAAGUAAAGGCGCAGGAAUCUCAGAAAGCCUCAAGGGAAUCCUGUCAGUGACAUGCAAGACUGGAAGACAGUUGCCGGAUUCGGCAUCCAGAUUUAGCCAGUGCGACUAAAACCAUGGAUUCAUAAAGGUUUUGGAGAGAAGGUAGAAGGAAGAGAGAUGAGGACAUUGAAAUCAUUAUCCAAGAAACGUGUCCAGGUGCAGACCUGGAUGGUCUCCAGUUGAGUAGGACUGAAAGACAGACACUGGGACAUUUUGGUAUGCUCUCCAGAAAGACCACCAGCUGCAAGUGGCCAACCGUUAAGAGAACUGCCUGAAUUUGAGGGUGAAGUGUUACCUGGACCUCUCGAGAAACUUUAAAGGAGCUACUUUUGGUGAACCUGGCAUAAAAUGUAGU